rnacentral:rRNA from 1 species
UACGUAGGUGACAAGCGUUGUCCGGAUUUACUGGGCGUAAAGAGCGCGCAGGCGGUCGAUCAAGUCGAGUGUGAAAGCCCCCGGCUCAACUGGGGAGGGUCAUUCGAAACUGGUCGACUCGAAGGCAGGAGAGGGUAGUGGAAUUCCCGGUGUAGUGGUGAAAUGCGCAGAUAUCGGGAGGAACACCUAUGGCGAAGGCAGCUCGCUGGGACGUUACUGACGCUGAGAAGCGAAAGCGUGGGGAGCGAACAGG